AUAUAACGCAGGCAACAUUGGAAUGCCUGGGAGGCGCAUACGAGGUAGAACCGGGUCACGGUGCUAGUCGCAACGCCUACUUGCGCGACCACUCAAUCCAAACGUACUUUAUUAUACCACCACCAAGACGGAGAAAAAUGUGUCUGUCGGGAGGGGUAGGACUGGGAUCUGGGUCACGUCGGAAGUUAUCAUUCAAAAAUGUAUCAAAUGUUGUGGUUCAACUUCUGCACUCCAUAAAAUUUAAUGUGGACGUGCCAUUCUCUAACAUGGCGGCAUCACCACAAGAACUAAAGGCAAACGCUGCGAGAAAGGUACCUUUAAAACUAAUAAAUAGAUCCAAAAAUUCGAUUAUCCAGAA